GAUGAACGCUAGCGGCAGGCCUAACACAUGCAAGUCGAGGGGUAACAUAGGAAAGCUUGCUUUUCUGAUGACGACCGGCGCACGGGUGCGUAACGCGUAUACAACCUACCUUUUAGCGGGGAAUAGCCCAGGGAAACUUGGAUUAAUGCCCCAUAGUAUAUAGACUUCUCCUGAAGUUUAUAUUAAACAUUUAUGGCUAUUAGAUGGGUAUGCGUCCUAUUAGUUAGUUGGUAAGGUAACGGCUUACCAAGGCAGCGAUAGGUAGGGGUCCUGAGAGGGAGAUCCCCACACUGGUACUGAGGCACGGACCAGACUCCUACGGGAGGCAGCAGUGAGGAAUAUUGGACAAUGGGCGAGAGCCUGAUCCAGCCAUGCCGCGUGCAGGAAGACUGCCCUAUGGGUUGUAAACUGCUUUUUACAGAGGAAGAACCACCCCCACGUGUGGGGGGUUUGACGGUACUCUGCGAAUAAGGAUCGGCUAACUCCGUG
rnacentral:rRNA from 1 species